UAAUUUACCUUACCACCGGCGAUCGUUCAGAGUAGCGGCAUCAACUACGGAAGACUGACUGUGGCGACGGACAAAGACAAACAGAUGAUCACUAUUCUUUGAUCAUCUCUCUCUCUUUCUCUCUUCCUUGUUUGUUUUGUUGUAUGCUAGUGAAACCAGCAACUAUGGGGCCAAAAGAAACCCAGAAUCGUGAUCAUAGGAAUGGCAAGGGUAACAACUACUCAUAAGCUUUAUAGUACCACCGCUACAACAAAGCUAUUCGAGCUCUGCGUUGUGGAAGGAGGAGAUAGAAUUGGUAGAAGAGCUAUUCGAGCUCUUCCCCAAAUCGAGACAGGCUGCGAGUAGGAAUUGCCCAGAUCGAGAAGAUGCACUGAGAACUAUUGAUCUUAUGUAUGAUACGGCUCUGGCUUCCUCUGGCUUCACUGUUGUGGCCCUCUUGCCCCGUUCUGAUCCCUUCGUGGGUCCCUUUAUGAAUCUAAUGGGCCUGUUUAAAAUAAAAAAAUAUAUGAACUCACUAGCUAGAACAUUUUGGUUUGAAAACAUACCAUAGCAGCUAAGAAACUGCUAGCAAUGGAGGUCCAAAUCUAGGCCAGGUAGUGAAUGGAUGGUUUCAGCAAAGGGCAACUGGAAUACUACUAAACCGUCAAUCUUAACCCAGCCCAAACUUUGUAUGCACCUUAUUCAAGGAAGACAGAAAUAGAGGUAUGCAGUUAGGCCAGGUUGGGUUCGGGUUGAACUUUGUAGUGCCCAGGGAAACCCUGCCCAGUCCAACGUGUGAAGAAUGGGCCGGCACUCCAGCCCGACCAAGCCUAACCCAGUCAGGUUUGUAUCAGGACAGGUCCAUUUC